GACGAACCGAGCGAACGUUGUUCGGAAUCACUGGGCUUAAAGGGCGCGUAGGCGGGCGGCUAAGUCUGUGGUGAAAUCCUCCAGCUCAACUGGAGAACUGCCAUGGAUACUGGUCGUCUCGAGGAAGGUAGGGGUAUGCGGAACUAUCGGUGGAGCGGUGAAAUGCGUUGAUAUCGAUAGGAACUCCGGUGGCGAAGGCGGCAUACUGGACCUUUUCUGACGCUGAGGCGCGAAAGCCAGGGGAGCAAACGGGAUUAGAUACCCCGGUAGUCCUGGCCCUAAACGAUGGGUACUAGCUAGUAGGGUUCACAUGGCUGGACUGGCGAAGCAAAAGUGCUAAGUACCCCGCCUGGGGAGUAUGGUCGCAAGGCUGAAACUCAAAGGAAUUGACGGGGGCUCACACAAGCGGUGGAGCAUGUGGCUUAAUUCGAGGCUACGCGAAGAACCUUAUCCUAGACUUGACAUGUGCGAUAGCGUUGAGCGGUACGUCUCCGAAAGGAAGGCCGAUUCCCAGCAAUGGGAGGACUCAACACAGGUGCUGCAUGGCUGUCGUCAGCUCGUGUCGUGAGAUGUCGGGUUAAGUCCCAUAACGAGCGAAACCCUUACCUCCAGUUACUACGGGUCAUGCCGAGGACUCUGGAGGGACUGCCGGUGUCAAACCGGAGGAAGGCGGGGAUGACGUCAAGUCCUCAUGGCCUUUACGUCUAGGGCUGCACACGUGCUACAAUGGUGUGAACAAACGGAAGCCAAGGCGCGAGCCGGAGCAAAUCCCAAAAAGCACACCCCAGUUCAGAUCGAAGGCUGCAACUCGCCUUCGUGAAGUUGGAAUCGCUAGUAAUCGCGGGUCAGCAACACCGCGGUGAAUGUGUUCCUGACCCCUUGUACACACCGCCCGUCAAGCCACGAAAGAGGGGAGUGCCCGAAGUCGCCUAGCGCCGAAGGCAAAACCU
rnacentral:rRNA from 1 species